rnacentral:lncRNA from 12 species
CAGAUAUCUAUUUUUUUUGGUUGCUUUUUUAAAGCAAGAAAAAAAUCCCCCUACAACACGUGUAGCCAAUCGUUGCAACUCUUAAUAUAUCUCUACAAAACAGGCAUUAAAAACAAGAAAUGCCCUCCUUCCUCGCCCCCUCCCUCGCCUUCCCAGCCCUCCCCUCCUAGAUCGUUGCCUCACUUGACACAAUGCAUAAGAUUACCCUUAACUGGAUCCUAUUAAAUAAUUCAAUGGUGGCGGUGUAAUUUUGGUUGGAAACUGCACGGAUUUCCAAGUCGUGACUGUAAAAGUGAGUAAUGUGCUCUGGCUGCGUCAUGGCUCCAGUCACAGAUGGUUCCAAACUGAGGAGAAAUCGUGACUUCGACUUGAGACGUCCCCUCUCCAUGAAAAGACCAUCCAAUCACAACGGCGUCGGGGGGCAGCCGGACUCCGCGGAGCUCGCUUUCUCCUUGCUCUCCCGUCCGUGUGUGUGUGCGCGUGUGUGUGCCCGUGUGCCCGUGCCUGCGCGCGUGUGUGUAUAAAAUCCUCAACAAGUUGCAGACGGGGUAGGGAGAGGAGGGGUUAAUCCUGGGGAAUCUUCUGCACCUAGUGAGAUCGUGACCCUCCCACACAGUACAGUAACUUAUAUACACACCUGGAGGAAGGGACGCUUUGCUUUUGGGCUUUCCAAAAAAAAAAAAAAAACCAAAACCAAAACAACCCACCAAAAAAACACCAAAACACUGUUGAUGAUGGUUGCACCUCGCGCGGGACUCCCCGGAGCGGCCAGGGACGCGCCCCGCCAGGUGCGGCCACGCCGUCGAGGCCGGAGGCGCCGCGGGAGCAGCGAGGGGCACAGGCAGGUGAGAGAAGCGCCGGGCUUUCCCCACACCCCCGGGGAUUCCUCACACAGGGCCCUCCCCAAAGCCAGGGAACCGUCCGGGCUCCUGGCUGCUGCCAUUCCCUCAGGCCCCGGCCCUGGUUACAGCCAGGCUUGGCCUAACACAGCACUAGGCCACAGCUGGCCCCGGACCCCCAGCACCGACAGGGCCCCAGGCAGCACCUGCUGCCCCCAGGUACAGGCAGCAACCUCAUCCCGCAUGGGAGAAAGCCCAGGAUGCUGGAAGGGAGGUCAUGGCAUUGAAACAGGGGGGCAAAUCCCUGUAAAGUUGAUACAAAUUACAUAUAAAAAGGCCGUCG